rnacentral:rRNA from 1 species
GACGAACGCUGGCGGCGUGCCUAAUACAUGCAAGUAGAACGCUGAAGGAGGAGCUUGCUUCUCUGGAUGAGUUGCGAACGGGUGAGUAACGCGUAGGUAACCUGCCUGGUAGCGGGGGAGAACAAUUGGAAACGAUAGCUAAUACCGCAUAAGAGUAGAUGUACCAUGACAUUUGCUUAAAAGGUGCAAUUGCAUCACUACCAGAUGGACCUGCGUUGUAUUAGCUAGUUGGUGAGGUAACGGCUCACCAAGGCAACGAUACAUAGCCGACCUGAGAGGGGGGUCGGCCACACUGGGACCGAGACACGGCCCAGGCCCCCACGGGAGGGAGCCGUAGGGAAUCUUCGGCCAUGGACGGAAGUCUGACCGAGCCACGCCGGGUGAGUGAAGAAGGUUUUCGGAUCGUAAAGCUCUGUUGUAAGAGAAGAACGAGUGGGAGAGUGGAAAGUUCACACUGUGACGGUAUCUUACCAGAAAGGGACGGCUAACUACGUG